rnacentral:rRNA from 2 species
GGACUACCGGGGUUUCUAAUCCUGUUUGCUCCCCACGCUUUCGUGCAUGAGCGUCAGUACUGGCCCAGGAGGCUGCCUUCGCCAUCGGUGUUCCUCCACAUCUCUACGCAUUUCACUGCUACACGUGGAAUUCCACCUCCCUCUGCCGUACUCUAGCUUCGCAGUCUCAAAUGCCAUUCCCAGGUUAAGCCCGGGGAUUUCACAUCUGACUUACGAAACCACCUGCGCACGCUUUACGCCCAGUAAUUCCGAUUAACGCUCGCACCCUACGUAUUACCGCGGCUGCUGGCAC